rnacentral:tRNA from 1 species
UAGCUCGUCAGGCUCAUAACCUGAAGGUCAUAGGUUCAAAUCCUAUCCCCGCAACCA